GUGAGUGUGAGGAGGAGCCAGUGGCUGUCCGGAGUGUGGGGCAGCAUGGCCUCGGAGGCCGUAGGGUCUCAAGGUGAUCGAUCUCCUCGUGAGGUGGGACUGCCAUGGGCCUUGUAGUGCGGGGAUCAGAACGAGGGAAGAAGUGUGAAAUAUGAUUUGGAGAGGAAGAUCAACAUAUAGGCCUAGACCAAGUAGAACUAUACCACCUCCUGAGCUGAUUGGGCCUAUGCUGGAGCCUAAUAAUGAGGAGCCUCAGCAAGAGGAACCACUGGCUGAAAGUCAGAAUCCUACGCCUGGUCAGGAGAGAGAAGAAGAUCAGGGUGCAGCUGAGAUUCAAGGUGCUGGGAAGGAAAAGAAAGAAUGUGUAUGGGGGGAGGAGGCCUAUGUGUGCGUCAUGCCUUAUGCCAUGACCAGUAACAGGAGGAAAGAAAACAUUAGGAAAGGAUCUCAAACUUUGGCUGAGAGUUGGCUGGAAAAGUGAAGAGUAUAGUUUGUAGCUCCCUGGAGUCCCUGGAUAUAAUGAAUCUUCUGUUACCUUUGAAAUAUAUUUUGUAUGCUUGAAAAUACAGUUCUUGCUAAAUCAGAUGAAACUGUUUAAUUUGAUGUACAAAAAUGUACAUUAUCUCACUAGUUUAAUUUGAUCUUCUUAGAAUGUUGUUGUCUGAUCUUCUCAGCCAUGGUGUCCACAGUAUUGUACGCACCCUUUAAUAGUAUGUAGAAUGCCAAGUCACCCCACCUUAUAGUACCCUGAAUAAAGCCCAUUUGCAUAAGGAUGUUAACCCCAUUUUAUAAAUAAGAAAACUGAGUCUCCAAGAUUGAGGUUUACCAAGAACACUUGACUCAUGGAGAAGGAAUUCAUAUUUCAUUCCAUGGUUUGUGUUCUUCAUACCAUCUAUGUUGUUAGAAAACAUGAAUGAUUUUGUUUGAAAUGUUAAUACCUGAAAGUGUCUGUAUUGCAAGGUAGUUCUGUAUUGGCUCAGGGAAACACAGUUCAGUGAAGCAGGAUAGCAACUCCAGAAACAAGCUCAGUAAAUGACAGCCAUUGUUUCCCUUGAUGUGUAUUUUUGACAGUAUAUUUGGUAAAAGCUAGAUAAUUCAGGGGACAUUGACAUACAGGUAGCUAUAUUAACAUGAUUUUAAGCGACUUUUUAAGAGUUGUUUAAAUACUUUUAUAAUUAGAAAACUCAAAGUAUGAUAAGAUUAUCAUGACACAGAAAUUUCCUCAAUGGAUAGCGUUUUGAAGUUAAACAUUGACAGAAUUUGGGUCAUGGAAUGUUUUAGCAAUUCACUGUUAAGGGGUUUCCAGAAUAUGACUGUCAACAAUGCCCAUUUAUGUUUUUUCACUCAAAUUCCUGUACUCUUGUGGAAGACAGUGAUUUUGCUGUUACUUUUUUCUAAAUGGGAUUCAUUUAUGGAAAGUUACAUUUAGGGCCUUUGGACCUAAGUUUGUUUAAUUUUAACCAAAAAUUUUCCAGUUACAUCAAAAGGCGAUGAGUGUCAGGACUGUAAGAUUUGUCAUGGGUUCACCAAUAUAUUCAUCUAAUCUUUCAGAAAAUUACAUUUAAGUUAUGAUUAAAAUGCUAUCCAUUGGGCAGUCCUCAGAUUUCCUAGAUAGCUGAUACUCACUGUUUAAAAUACACAGUGGUAAAGUAUAGGAAAUGUAAGUGUGGUAUGAUUUUUUUCUCAGAUUGUCAUAGAUAAGAUUUCAUAAUAGCAGAAAACAAAGUUGUGACAUCUUUACAUCACAUUUAUUAGCACAGUAGGCUAUAGGAUUUUAUUUCAUAACACUGAGGAAAAUAAUAGUAUCAUUUCCUUAUUUGUCUUUCUUGUUUGCCUGCUUCAAUCAAGAACUUUUGUAAUUUUUAGUGCCUGAUCUGGAAGCUGGUCUCCAGGAGCUGUCUCAGUCAAAGACUGGGGAUGAAUGUGGAGAUGGUACUGAUGACCAGGGGAAGAUUCUCCCAGAAUCAGAGCAAUUUAAAAUGCCAGGAGGAGAUGACAGGCAACCACAGUCUUAAAUGAAGACAAGCUGCAACAACACAAAGUUUGUGUUUUUAUAUAAGAUAUUUGACUUAAAAAUAUCUAAAUAAACUUUUGCAGCUUUCUCCAAA